rnacentral:rRNA from 1 species
ACGUAGGUGGCGAGCGUUGUCCGGAUUUAUUGGGUUUAAAGGGUGCGUAGGCGGCCCUAUAAGUCAGUGGUGAAAUACUCCAGCUUAACUGGAGGGGUGCCAUUGAUACUGUAGGGCUUGAGUGGAGUCGAGGUAGGCGGAAUUGACGGUGUAGCGGUGAAAUGCUUAGAUAUCGUCAAGAACACCGAUAGUGUAGACAGCUUACUAGGCUUCAACUGACGCUGAGGCACGAAAGUGUGGGGAUCAAACAGGA